UACGUAGGGGGCAAGCGUUGUCCGGAUUUACUGGGCGUAAAGAGCGUGUAGGCGGCUAGGUAGGUCCGUUGUGAAAACUCGAGGCUCAACCUCGAGACGUCGAUGGAAACCAUCUAGCUAGAGUCCGGAAGAGGAGAGUGGAAUUCCUGGUGUAGCGGUGAAAUGCGCAGAUAUCAGGAAGAACACCCGUGGCGAAGGCGGCUCUCUGGUACGUGACUGACGCUGAGACGCGAAAGCGUGGGGAGCGAACAGG
rnacentral:rRNA from 1 species